AACGAACGCUGGCGGCAUGCCUAACACAUGCAAGUCGAACGAAGGCUUCGGCCUUAGUGGCGCACGGGUGCGUAACGCGUGGGAAUCUGCCCUUAGGUUCGGAAUAACAGUUGGAAACGACUGCUAAUACCGGAUGAUGACGAAAGUCCAAAGAUUUAUCGCCUGAGGAUGAGCCCGCGUAGGAUUAGCUAGUUGGUGUGGUAAGAGCGCACCAAGGCGACGAUCCUUAGCUGGUCUGAGAGGAUGAUCAGCCUCACUGGGACUGAGACCCGGCCCAGACUCCUACGGGAGGCAGCAGUGGGGAAUAUUGGACAAUGGGCGAAAGCCUGAUCCAGCAAUGCCGCGUGAGUGAUGAAGGCCUUAGGGUUGUAAAGCUCUUUUACCCGGGAUGAUAAUGACAGUACCGGGAGAAUAAGCUCCGGCUAACUCCGUGCCAGCAGCCGCAGUAACAC
rnacentral:rRNA from 1 species